CGAAAGCACUUCGGUGUGAGUAGAGCGGCGGACGGGUGAGUAACGCGUAAGAAUCUACCUAGUAGUGGGGGACAACUCGAGGAAACUCGAGCUAAUACCGCAUACGCCCUACGGGGGAAAGCGGGGGACCUUCGGGCCUCGCGCUAUUAGAUGAGCUUGCGUUGGAUUAGCUUGUUGGUGAGGUAAUGGCUCACCAAGGCUACGAUCCAUAGCUGGUCUGAGAGGAUGAUCAGCCACACCGGGACUGAGACACGGCCCGGACUCCUACGGGAGGCAGCAGUGGGGAAUAUUGCGCAAUGGGCGAAAGCCUGACGCAGCCAUGCCGCGUGUGUGAAGAAGGCCUUAGGGUUGUAAAGCACUUUCAAUUGGGAGGAAAAGUUAACGACUAAUACUCGUUAGCCUUGACGUUACCUUUAGAAGAAGCACCGGCUAACUCCGUGCCAGCAGCCGCGGUAAUACGGAGGGUGCAAGCGUUAAUCGGAAUUACUGGGCGUAAAGCGCGCGUAGGCGGCUUUUUAAGUCGGAUGUGAAAGCCCCGGGCUCAACCUGGGAACUGCAUCCGAUACUGGAAGACUAGAGUGCGAGAGAGGGAGGUAGAAUUCCAUGUGUAGCGGUGAAAUGCGUAGAUAUAUGGAGGAAUACCAGUGGCGAAGGCGGCCUCCUGGCUCGACACUGACGCUGAG
rnacentral:rRNA from 1 species